AGUGAACGCUGGCGGUAGGCCUAACACAUGCAAGUCGAACGGCAGCACAGGAGAGCUUGCUCUCUGGGUGGCGAGUGGCGGACGGGUGAGGAAUACAUCGGAAUCUACUCUGUCGUGGGGGAUAACGUAGGGAAACUUACGCUAAUACCGCAUACGACCCACGGGUGAAAGCAGGGGAUCUUCGGACCUUGCGCGAUUGAAUGAGCCGAUGGCGGAUUAGCUAGUUGGCGGGGUAAAGGCCCACCAAGGCGACGAUCCGUAGCUGGUCUGAGAGGAUGAUCAGCCGCACUGGAACUGAGACACGGUCCAGACUCCUACGGGAGGCAGCAGUGGGGAAUAUUGGACAAUGGGCGCAAGCCUGAUCCAGCCAUACCGCGUGGGUGAAGAAGGCCUUCGGGUUGUAAAGCCCUUUUGUUGGGAAAGAAAUCCAGCUGGCUAAUACCCGGUUGGGAUGACGGUACCCAAAGAAUAAGCACCGGCUAACUUCGUGCCAGCAGCCGCCGCGG
rnacentral:rRNA from 1 species